rnacentral:rRNA from 1 species
CUGGGCUAGAAUGCCUCUGGCAACCCUAGAGAUAGGGCUUCCUAGGGAAACCUAGGCAGAGUGCGAGGUGCUGCAUGGCUGUCGUCAGCUCGUGUCGUGAGAUGUUGGGUUAAGUCCCGCAACGAGCGCAACCCUUAUCGAUAGUUGCUAGCGGUUCGGCCGAGCACUCUAUUGGGACUGCCGUUGACAAAACGGAGGAAGGUGGGGAUGACGUCAAGUCCUCAUGGCCUUUAUGUCCAGGGCUACACACGUGCUACAAUGGCAAGUACAAAGCGCUGCAAACUCGCGAGAGGGAGCCAAUCGCAAAAAGCUUGUCUCAGUUCGGAUUGGAGUCUGCAACUCGACUCCAUGAUGCUGGAAUCGCUAGUAAUCGCAGAUCAGCACGCUGCGGUGAAUACGUUCCC